GUGCUAUUGCUAUUGACUCUGGGUGAUUGUACCUAUCCUAUUUCUUUGCCAGUAUUAUGGAAGUGAUUUAUUCUUUCCUUUCAUUGAAAUGUUUUCCGGUUUCCCAAUUGAGUAGGAGCCAUGGAAUUUCCAGGCUCGCUCACUUUUCCUGCCUUGCUUCGGUGCUGCAAUCAAUUGCAUCCGCUAGCAACUCAAUCUGCCUGCCUGCAAUCAAUCCAAUCGGGGAGCAACUCAAUCUGCCUGCCUGCCUGCCUUGUGCCUUCAAUUUGGCCAAACAGAAGAGCAAUGUUGAUGCUUCUUGAGGGUGACUGUUUUGCCUUCUUCCUCUGUCACAUGAAGCGGACAUGAUAACAUGAAGAUCAGGAAUGGGUGAAAUGUUGGUUGCUUCCAGAAUUGGACCAUCCCUCCUCGAGUGGCCCCCAAGUGGGUUGCUGGCCAGCUCAAGGAAACAGAUCUUAUGGAUGUUCUUGUGGUUGUGCAACAUCAUGUUGUGAGAUUAAGUGACAAACCUAACGUGAUGGAUUUGAAAGAUAGAUUGCAAAACCAAUGUAACCGUGUCUCAUCAGGAUAUUCAAUUAUUUCCUGUGACUUGAACAAAAUUGCGUGCCUCCUCAAGUCACGUUGGACAUGUUAAUCAGUUCGUGACUGAUAAACGCGUUUCUAACAUUACCAAAGAACAACUUUAAAGGCUAGGUUUAAUUAAGUAAUUAUUACUGCUUGCCCCUUUUAUGUAUCAUUUUCCUUCGAUCUUGCAGUUUCCAAACCCACCCUCUCACCCACAUUUGGUAUUUAUUUAUGCUUGCGUAUAAUAUUUUAUGAACUGGAAACAAGUCCACAGAUUAUUGAGUCAUAAUAAAAGUGCUAAGUGCUUAAUGUUCCAGAAUAGAUAAUAAUCAGCCAAGAUAUGAUUAAUAACCCCAAUGCAGAGAUUGAUAGAUAAAGAGACAGAAUAAUAGUUCUGUUAUUCUGUUAGACCAGGGGUGUCAAACUCGAUUUCAUUGAGGACUGCAUCAGGGUUGUGUUUGACCUCGUUUGUGUGUGUGUGGCCUGCUCGACAUCACUCGUGUUGGGGGCGCCUAUGGUGGCCCAAGUGCUCUGCCAGGGAAAACGGGUUCCUGAGCUCCAUUUCCGGCUCUGACAGCCUCCUGAAACCCUCUGCCAGCAAAAACGGAGCCCAGGAGGGCCUUGUGGUGGUCCUUUGCUAUUUCCAGGGUGGCCCCUUAGGCCUGAUCUAAGCACCCCAUGGGCCGUAUCUGGCCCAAGGGCCCUGAGUUUGACACCCCUGUGUUAGACAGACAGAUAUUAACAUGGCUCAGUAUUGAAACAAUAUUAGGGAUGUUAAAUGAAUGUUAUUUGCCCCCUGAAAAUAAAAAUGGCAUUUUGCUGAAAUUAUGUAUGGCUGAUCCUCAGCCCAUCUUUUAGGGCAGGGGUCACCAACCUUUCGGACCUCAGGGACCACCAAAUUCAUAAUUUUAAAUCCCGCAGACCACUAAUAUGGAUUUUUAAAAAGAUAAAUAGUAUUUAGUGCAAUAUAAAAAAUGCAAAUAAUUUUUCUGCGGAUCACUAAAAUUUUCUUACGGACCACCAGUAGUCCACAGACCACCAGUUGGUGACCACUGUUUUAGGGAAAGAACAAUGUGAGCCCUAAGGAUCUUUUCAUUCUUAAAGGGAUCCUGAGAAUCAAACCACCAUGGCAUGAAGACUGCCUGAAGUGCUAGCAGUGGCAUCUUCUCUUUCCAGAUGACCAGGAAAGCUUCAGUUUUGAUGUUCAGGUGCCAUUCCUAUGCCAUCCUUUCUCUGCCUGCUUUCCAGCUCCGAAAUCCAAUCUGUUGUAACAAAAAAAAAAAAAAAAAAA